rnacentral:lncRNA from 1 species
AACAUUCUUACAUCAGGGCUCCUCCCGCACCCCUACUCUUCCACCCCUCCCUGUUCCUAACUCCCACUCCCCGCCAGCCCUUUUCCUUAAAGCCGCAGUCGCCCACGUCUGCACGGGCGGGAGCCCCACCGCGCCACACCGCCACCGUGGUCCCCGUCUCUCCCUGGCCCCGCACGCGGCAGCUCUCUCUCUCUAUAGCUCCUGGCUUUGAAAAUGGAAAUGCGUUUGAAAGUAAAGAAAUGCGCGCAGGCGCGAGCAGAAAAGCGAAACUUGUUGCUCUCAAAGGCGAGAGAACAGUUCUUCUGAAGGUGUUAGAAAGCUUGAAGAGCAUCUCCAAGGCGUCCUCUGGGCUUUGUUUGCUAAACCAGCGCGCGAGACCCUGUGCUCCGGGUUCUGCAAUGCCGAGAAAGGUCUUGCAUCCGAGAGCCAGUCUUGCCACGGGUCACGGCCACAACAGCGGUGGAGACGAGGAUGGAAACGGCCAUGGAGAAGUCCGUGGCCCGAGAGCCUCGGCAGAGUCCGCCGCGCUGCAGGGAAGGUCUGAAUGGAACUUAAUCCUCUGAAAGUGGUAACACACCGAGGUCAUUUGCAAUGUGAACGUGCUACAUUGGACGGGAGAAUUCUGACACUUAAGCCCCGCAAUUUAAAAUAAAUUGAAAAUGUUUUAAAAUAGUCUUUCAUUUGACUAGGCAACCGUGUCCACAAAUUUGUUAGUCUUAGACCAACGCCCUCUUUCGGCAGGAACUUGCAGCCGACUUGUAUCCCCGAUGACACCUCCUCAGACGCUGAGUUUGCUUUUUGUUUGUUUGUUUGUUUGUUUUUUCUUUUGUUUUGUUUGACGCUGAGGCCCCA